rnacentral:rRNA from 1 species
AGUCACUGACAUUAGAUACCCGUGUAGUCCAGGGUGUAAACGCUGCAGACUUGGUGUUUGGAAGUCCUUUGGGGGGCAUUCAGUGCCGGAGAGAAGUUGUUAAGUCUGCUACUUGGGGAGUACGUCCGCAAGGAUGAAACUUAAAGGAAUUGCGGGGGAGCACCGCAACGGGAGGAGCGUGCGGUUUAAUUGGAUUCAACACCGUAAAACUCACCAGGGAAGACUGUUACAUGAAAGCCGAGAUGAAGACUCUGCUAGAUUUUCAG